rnacentral:rRNA from 1 species
GCACAUGCGUAAGUUCUACACAUGCAGUCGAGCGGUAGAGAGAAGCUUGCUUCUCUUGAGAGCGGCGGACGGGUGAGUAAUGCCUAGGAAUCUGCCUGGUAGUGGGGGAUAACGUUCGGAAACGGACGCUAAUACCGCAUACGUCCUACGGGAGAAAGCAGGGGACCUUCGGGCCUUGCGCUAUCAGAUGAGCCUAGGUCGGAUUAGCUAGUUGGUGAGGUAAUGGCUCACCAAGGCGACGAUCCGUAACUGGUCUGAGAGGAUGAUCAGUCACACUGGAACUGAGACACGGUCCAGACUCCUACGGGAGGCAGCAGUGGGGAAUAUUGGACAAUGGGCGAAAGCCUGAUCCAGCCAUGCCGCGUGUGUGAAGAAGGUCUUCGGAUUGUAAAGCACUUUAAGUUGGGAGGAAGGGUUGUAGAUUAAUACUCUGCAAUUUUGACGUUACCGACAGAAUAAGCACCGGCUAACUCUGUGCCAGCAGCCGCGGUAAUACAGAGGGUGCAAGCGUUAAUCGGAAUUACUGGGCGUAAAGCGCGCGUAGGUGGUUUGUUAAGUUGGAUGUGAAAUCCCCGGGCUCAACCUGGGAACUGCAUUCAAAACUGACUGACUAGAGUAUGGUAGAGGGUGGUGGAAUUUCCUGUGUAGCGGUGAAAUGCGUAGAUAUAGGAAGGAACACCAGUGGCGAAGGCGACCACCUGGACUAAUACUGACACUGAGGUGCGAAAGCGUGGGGAGCAAACAGGAUUAGAUACCCUGGUAGUCCACGCCGUAAACGAUGUCAACUAGCCGUUGGAAGCCUUGAGCUUUUAGUGGCGCAGCUAACGCAUUAAGUUGACCGCCUGGGGAGUACGGCCGCAAGGUUAAAACUCAAAUGAAUUGACGGGGGCCCGCACAAGCGGUGGAGCAUGUGGUUUAAUUCGAAGCAACGCGAAGAACCUUACCAGGCCUUGACAUCCAAUGAACUUUCUAGAGAUAGAUUGGUGCCUUCGGGAACAUUGAGACAGGUGCUGCAUGGCUGUCG